rnacentral:lncRNA from 1 species
CAGACACUUUGUGCCUUCCCUUUCCCACUCACUGCAUAGCAGGACAAAGCCCACAGGGAAACUGAGGCACACUGCUCAUAAAAAUAUUGCCUGAAUUUCCACCUCCACACAAGUGCUCCGCAGGGUGAGGGCUACUCUCACUUGCCCCGUUCAGUCCCCCGGAGCGUGGCUGGUGCUGCCUUGGACCCACCCACGGCCCGUCUGGAAGCCGGGUCUGGAACAUGCCUCUUCCCAUAGGUGCUGGGUGUCAUGAUUGGCGUUGGUGUUUCCGUGUUGCUCGUCGCCACCUUGAUCCUGGUGCUGGUCCGCAGGCUGCGCCUCAAGAAGGUUCAGGCUCAGGAGACCCCCAAGUAUCGAUUCCGCAAGCGGGACAAAGUGCUGUUCUACGGGCGCAAGAUCAUGCGCAAGGUAUGGGGCUGGGGCAGAGCACCAUGCACUGGCCCGGGCUGGGGAGUCAGUGGGGGCUGGCAGUGAAAGUGUUGAUGGCUCUGCCAGCUCCAGUGUAGUGCUCCAAUCCCUGUCCCCCUCCCUGCCCAGAAGCCUGGCUGUAGCCCAGCUGAAGGGCGUCUCUGGGGGUAGUUCAAUUUCGCAGUUAGACACUGGUGUUGGACAGGGUGGUGGCCAGGGCCGGCUUUAGGCUGAGUCCCCCAGUUCCCCAGAAUCAGGCCCCACGCCUUAGGCUCACCCGGCGGUGGUCCGCUCCGGCGGCAUUUUGGUGGCUGGGGGGGAUCCGCUCUGGGGUCUUCGGCAGCAUUUUGGCGGCGGUGGGGGGGUGUCUGCUCCAGGGUCUUUGGCGGUGGGGGGUCCUUCAGGGAGCACCCUCCAACCCCCGCUGCGAAAGUGCCACCGAAGACCCGGACCAUGGAAUCGGGCCCGUCAGGUCCUAAAGCCAGCCCUGGUGGUGGCUCCCUUGGCACCGCCCCCAACCCAUGCUCCUCUCCUCCCGCUGCAGCUGAGGAGUAAGAGCUCUGGCAGGUGAAUCAUUGCGGGUGGGCCUGGUCUCUGGCAUCCCUGUCACAGAGCCACAGGGUCUGGCCUAUGCCCC